UUGAAAUCUGGUACCUUCGGUGCCCGAGUUGUAAUUUGGAGAGGGCAACUUUGGGGCCGUUCCUUGUCUAUGUUCCUUGGAACAGGACGUCAUAGAGGGUGAGAAUCCCGUGUGGCGAGGAGUGCGGUUCUUUGUAAAGUGCCUUCGAAGAGUCGAGUUGUUUGGGAAUGCAGCUCUAAGUGGGUGGUAAAUUCCAUCUAAAGCUAAAUAUUGGCGAGAGACCGAUAGCGAACAAGUACAGUGAUGGAAAGAUGAAAAGAACUUUGAAAAGAGAGUGAAAAAGUACGUGAAAUUGUUGAAAGGGAAGGGCAUUUGAUCAGACAUGGUGUUUUGUGCCCUCUGCUCCUUGUGGGUAGGGGAAUCUCGCAUUUCACUGGGCCAGCAUCAGUUUUGGUGGCAGGAUAAAUCCAUAGGAAUGUAGCUUGCCUCGGUAAGUAUUAUAGCCUGUGGGAAUACUGCCAGCUGGGACUGAGGACUGCGACGUAAGUCAAGGAUGCUGGCAUAAUGGUUAUAUGCCGCCCGUCUUG
rnacentral:rRNA from 1 species